rnacentral:lncRNA from 1 species
AGUGUGCGCUCCUGUCUUUGAUGGUAUCGACAAAGUGUGGUUUCACGUGUUGCCCCAACUGAGGCCGGUUUCCUGUCUGUAUGCGGAGUAGAUGGAAGGACCGCGCUGGGCCUUUCUGCCUGCCUGGAGUCAUCUGGAGAGAAAUCAAGUGUGAGCACCUCUCCCGCAGAAAGUUCUGUAUGUUAUGUAACACCCUCACUCAGGGCUUCCUCGGGUUACCAGCGUGCUCUCAAUCAGCCAGCCCUCGGCUUUCUGGCUGGGGUGGGGUGGCGGUGGGGUGUCAGUGUGAUGUAAGUGGAGGUGGAGGCUUCAUUCCCAGGGGGCAUCCCCCCCGCCAAGCCCCAGUUCAAGGCCCAGGAACAAAGGGAUAGAAAGGGAACUGAUCUGUCCUUAGCUUUUCCCCUCCACCUGCAACCCCCCCUCCGCCUGCAUCUCCCCCACUUGCCCACUGACAGGGCCUCCUCUGAGAAACAGAGGAAAGCCUGUGGGCUCAGGUACCCAGGAAACACCCCCACCAUUGACACUCAGAAACCCCAUUUGAGGGGCAGGCUGCAGGCGGGGCAGGGCCACUACCUCUGCUCCCAAGUCUGGACCCAAGGCUACUUGCCUAGCAUCCUUUUCUUAUUAAAAACAUCCAGGACAACUAUUAAAUAGUUCUUGGGAGAGUUAAAGGCAUUGCUCCAGUUUGAAACAUUUCUAAAGCCCCGUUUGGAAGAAAUCUUGGAGGAGGACAAAAUGUCAUCAGUAGGCUUGGCUUCGCAAGUCUGAAAGGUUUCUCCCCACCCCCCAGAUGUUAAUGAAAAAUAGUUUGGAGAUGUUGUUUUGUUCACUGAUAGGUACCUCCCUGUUGUAGCCUACAGAUUCUCAAGGCCAAGCCAGUAAGGCAUUAUUUUCAUUUUGCUAGCUUCUGGGUGAUACUAUACUUUCCGAUUGAAUCUACUUAAUUUAGUUUAUUUAAAAAAAAACAAAAACAAAAAAACAAUGCUGCUGCAGAAUUUUCCAUCUUGGAAAUGUAAGUGAAAAACAGAGUUUCUCUCACCCAGGUUCCUAUAGGGGCAGAGUGGAAGGACCCUGGCGGGGCUCCCCUUUAUGCCUCGAAUUUGCCCCCCCUGAAGCCAGGGGACUGAAGGUGGUAGGUACUGGCACCUCUUACUUCAUUGCUGGUGCAGGGCGCGUCCUUUGAAAGGAAUCUCUAUUCUGUUUCAGUGCAAGGUUCCAGUCGACUAAAUGAGC